AGAGGUCGGUGGGCUGAGCCCAGAGCUGGACACGAGCUGUGCUCUCUCCUCACGCGUGCAUGCUGCGACAUCACGAACAGACUCCUAUAGAGCUCGUACUUGAUCAUGCGCUGAUCACGAGCACAGGCAGCCAAUCAAAACGCAGCUUAGGUCUGCUGUACAUUGAGACGGUUAACUGGUUUCAUUCUGAUCAGACAGAGAGAAAGGUUGCAUGCUUUGCUUUCCGCCUAAUUCCAGUCAGUUUUGUGUGCGUCAAUGAUGAGAAGUAAGUGUUUAUGCAUCUUUUACAUACCUGUUACCACUGUUUUAUCAUUAUAGUAUUGUAUUGAGAUUAUUGAUUUAUGCGCGAGCUCGUAAAGAAUCGCGGACUGCCGCGGCUAGUAGUAGCGAUCUUUUAUGUAAAUAUAAUUGCUUUAAAUGAUAAUACAUACAUCGCCUAUUAAAUCCAUGCUUUUUGUUAUAUUUCCGCCUAAGUUAAAAGCCUGUUAAUAGUGAGAAUUAUUAUUUAUAUACGUUUAUCUGCCUUGCUUCAUCUGCUUUGCUCAUGCAUGUCAGUUAUAAAUGUAUAUUGUAGUUUAAUGUUGUGUAUAAGUAUUUCCACUUGUUACUGUUAUCCUUAUUAUCUAAAUUUACUUAUUAAUGUAUAUUUUCUUUCCUUUGUUUAGACCACACACACACACACACACCAAACACAUACACAAAGUGUGAUGGACAAUAAAGAGCUUUAAAUGGGGUUCAAGUCUCCGUGUUCUUACCGGCACUCCAUGGCGACGAUCAAAUUCACCUAAAAACCAGCUAACUCCUCUACAAAAUUGGUCCUUCGAGCCGGAGCUGGUCGUUACCAUGGCAACCCCAAAGUCAGCCCCAUCCUCUUCUCGACGUCCACACAGAGUGAUCCAGAGACCUGCCUACUUAGAUGACUACAUAGUCAAUUAUGCUGGAAACCCAUCUAGCCAUCCAGUUGGACCUAAAGAGAAAGCAAUAAUGACGUCAACCCCCAUCACUACUAGUCAAUCAUAUGGAACUGCUGGUUCAUCAGAGGACUUUAUGCAGCAGAUGAUGGAGAUUACAAAACAGCAAAGUGAGACAGCAAGGCGCCAAACAGAGCUCUUGGAGAAAGUCCUGCUACACAGUAGCCUUCAAGCAUCCACCCCCUCCUCACGAGCAUCAUCACGGCAUCAGACACCUCGGACCCGAAUCCUGCAAUCAGUGGAAAAGGGACAGCCGACAUCUGAAGUAAGCCCUGAUGUUGUUAGAAUACAGUCCUCUCCCUGGCCACUGCCUAAUAAUCCCCCGACUGUGGAAGAGCUUUCUCAGUCGCUGAGGAAAACCCACCUCAGAGACACUUAUUUCCAGUCACCUCCACCUGUAAGCAGAGAAACCACCUUAACGUCACAUCAGUAUGCCACACCCUAUAGCAGCUCUCCAUUAGACCAAAUUAGAACCCAUCAGCACAACCAAGCAGAGCCAUGGACUAAACCACUGCCUCCUCUCCCUGGACAGCAACCCAUCCAAACCACCCAGCCACAUUUCUAUAACAUACCACCUGCAGCUGUCCACCCAGUACACAGCCGGUUCGUUUCAGUGACUGAGCCAAUGCCACAAACGUCAUACCAAGCUACAUCUCAAUUUAGGGCUAACACUGUACCCUAUGCACCUCCUCCUCCCUCAUACUGGAGUCCAACAGUGGAAGGGCCCACCUUUCCAGAUUUUUACAAAGAGGACAGAGCUCAGUAUGUGGAACUUAGGAUGGCUUUGGAUAAUUUGCUCCACCCUCAAAUACCAGAGAAUUAUAAGUACUCCAUCCUCCUGAAGCAUGUGAAGGUACCUAAUGCUCACAGACUAGUGUUAGCACAUGCAGAAUCAGUCACUCCUUACACAAAUGCCCUGCAAGCCCUCGACAGGAGGUAUGGCAGGCCCUACCAGUUUGUGCUGAGAGAAAUAGAGACAUUGGAGAACCUCCCAGCUAUUCGUGCUGGUGAUGAGCGGGCAUUCGAUGAGUUUUCUCUCAGAGUCCAAGCAAUAGUCGGCAUGCUUAAAGCCCUCAAGGAUGAUGGUAUUGAGGAACUGCACAGUGGGUCAAAUGUUAAACGACUGUUGAACCGUCUUCCUCGUUCACAACAAACGCAAUUCAGGAGGCAUCAUCUCAAGAGAAACCCAGAUAAGACAAAGUUCUCUCUCCUUGAGUUUGCAGAUUGGCUGCAGCUGGAAGCUAACUGCUUAGAAUUUGACCCAACUGAUACCACCAGAACUCUAAAUCGAGAUCAAAGAGCAGUCACUCGACAACAAACCAGGCAAACCAGCAUACUGCAUGGUGUUAAUCAAAGACAGACUACAGAACAGGUAACCAAACCCACCAUAAUACAGCAGAAAGCACCUAAUAAACACAAACCUGUCUGUCCAUACUGCAAUGCGGAACAUUACCUCGGCCAGUGUACCGCCUUCAAUACAUUAACUAAGGAGCAGAUUGUGGGUUGGAUUAAAGAGAAUAAACGAUGCUGGAAAUGUGCACGUUUACACAUGGCUAAAGACUGUGACCUUCAAAAGCCUUGCCACCUGUGUCAAGCCAAACAUCUCUCUGUGCUCCAUGACAUAAAUCAAAGGAAAGCUGAAGUUACCAAUGAAAGCAGUAGUUUGUAUAACUCAACCACAGAGACUCUGUACCUAGACCAGCCACGCUGUGGGGGCAAAGUCUUUCUAAAGGUUGUCAAGGUUACACUUCAUUACCAACAAAAGGCUCUGGACACAUUUGCAAUACUUGACGAUGGCUCAGAGCGCACCAUUCUGCUUGCCACCGCUGCAAAUCACCUUGGUUUAAAGGGCAAACCAGAACAGUUGAACUUACGGACAGUACACCAAGAUAUCAGGACAUUACAUGGCACAUCUGUAUCCUUCUGUAUAUCCACUCCAAGUAACCCUGGUAAGAGAUAUGCAAUUCACGGGGCUUUUACCGCAGAGCAGUUUGGAUUAGCAGAAUACACUUAUCCAGUGAGUUCCUUGCAGAAAAGGUACAGACACCUCAGGGGCGUUCCCAUACCACCCCUGCACAAAGCUUGUCCCCUGCUGCUCAUUGGUUCAGAUCACACUGAGCUCAUCACACCAACUGAACCAGUGUUAUUGGGUCCACCUGGAGGUCCAGCAGCAAUCAGAACUCGCCUUGGCUGGGCUUUGCAAGGCCCCUCCAAACAUGUACAAGAACAACUCCCAAUUUCACAGUGCCUGUUCACAUCUAAUUGUUCUCCAUCCGCAGAACUUUAUCAUCAGAUUGAAAAGUUAUGGCAGAUGGACAUCCUGCCGUACCGAAGUGAGAAAAUUGUAGUAAGGUCACAACAGGACCAAGAAGCCUUGAACAUGCUCGAGACACAAACAGUGCAGGUGAAAGUGGAUGGAAUUGACAGAUAUGCCACCCCACUUUUAAGAGUCAAAACAAUGACUUUACUCAAUGCCCCCAAAGAGGCUGUAAUGUGCCAUCUCCGUAGCACUGAACGCUGUCUGACAAAGGACCCACCAUUAGCCCUCAAAUAUCAAGAGGAAAUCAAAAAACUGGAGAAUGCUGGUUAUGCCACUAAAAUACCACCUCAAGAAGCAGCCCAAUCUACAGAGUCAUGGUAUCUGCCCCACCACAUUGUGACACACAAUGGAAAGCACAGAGUGGUGUUCAAUUGCUCUUACACAUACAAUGGAGAAAAUCUGAACAAGCAGCUGUUGCCAGGACCAACAUUAGGCCCCACUCUCCUUGGAGUGUUAAUUCGCUUCAGAGAACAUCGAGUCGCCAUCAGUGGAGACAUUAAAGGGAUGUUUCACCAGGUCCGUCUGCUCCCCAAAGAUAAACCCCUUCUGCGGUUCUUGUGGCGGGACCUAAACCCUGAAAACCCACCUGAUGUGUAUGAGUGGCAAGUCCUUCCAUUCGGCACAACCUGUAGCCCCUGUUGUGCAACCUUUGCCGUUCAGCGACACGUUUUUAGCCAUUGCCAACAGGGUGACAAGCUACGACAGUCAGUUGAACAUUCCUUCUAUGUCGACAACUGCCUACAAAGCACUUCAUCUGCAGUUGAAGCCCGUGAACUAAUUGAUGGUCUAAGGUCCAUACUAGCCUCAGGGGGUUUCGAAAUCCGUCAGUGGGCAAGCAAUGAGGCCACAGUGGUCAGACAUCUCCCUAAAGAGGCCAAAUCAGAGAAUACUGAGCUGUGGAUUUCUCAAAGUCAGGCAGACCCCCAUGAAAUGACAAUGGGACUUAGCUGGCAUUGUGUACCAGACACCCUACAUUACCGUCGCCGCCCGCUGCCCUACCAGGAGGUAACAAUGAGGAAUAUCUAUCGUGUCCUUGCCAGCCAAUAUGACCCACUAGGCUACAUUAUACCCUUCACAACAAGGGCCAAAAUCAUUGUACGUCAACUGUGGGCAAAAGAACGAGAAUGGGAUGACCCCCUUCUACCAUCAGAACUACUGCAGGCCUGGCAGAAUUGGGAGGCCGAACUGAAUCAUCUUCCAAAAAUUACCAUGCCCCGUUGUUAUGUGUCGGCCACUCUAGACAUUCCAGAGGCAGAACGAGAGCUCCAUAUCUUCUGCGAUGCCUCUGCAGAAGCUUACGGGUCAGUAGCAUACCUUCGUACUGAGCACCAAGGCCAGAUUGAGCUGGCAUUCAUUCAUGCAAGAUCUAGAGUGUCACCCAAAAGGCAACAAUCUGUACCCAGGCUCGAACUGUGCGCCGCCCUCACUGGAGCACAGUUAGCCAAGCUGCUUCAUAAUGAGCUGUCACUCAAGAUCAAAGACACAUUCUUGUGGAGCGACUCAACAACCGUACUUACCUGGAUCAAAUCAGAAUCUUGCAGAUUUAAAGUUUUUGUGGGGACUAGAGUAACUGAAAUACAAGAGCUCACCGAAGGUUACUAUUGGCGGUUUGUAGAUUCAGGAAACAAUGUUGCAGAUGACAUCACACGUGGCAAAUCCUUGCUUGAACUGUCCCAACCCAACAGAUGGAGUAAAGGGCCAGAUUUCCUCUAUCUACCACCCGUUAGUUGGCCAGAAAGCCCUUCUGUAGAACUAGAUGCAGACCUGACUGAGCUCCGUAACACAAAGUUUUGUGGUCUCACCUUGGAUGGUUCUGGAUCAUCACUGCCAGAUGCCAACCAAUUCUCCACCUUUGAAGAACUUCUGGAGGCCACUUGUAGAUCCUUACAUGGGGCGGCAGGAGAAACCACUGACCCAGAAGCCAUACAGUACAGACAAGCUGAAACGGAUUUACUAAGGCGAGCCCAAACAGACAGUUUCCCCUCAGAGUAUAAUGCCCUUACAGCUGGUAAGCCAAUCCCAUCAUCAAGUCGUUUGCUUUCACUAUCACCUGAGUUGGAUAAGACAGCUGCACUCAUCCGUGUUGGAGGACGAUUACGGCAAGCCCAGCACUUGUGUUACAGUACUGUACAUCCAAUAGUCCUGGAUCCAAAUCACCCAAUCACCCGACUCCUCAUAAAACAGUAUGAUGCCAAACUCGGUCACCCUGGUCCAGAAAGGGUCUUUGCUGAAAUGCGAAGGUAUUACUGGAUCCUCAGAGGGAGAGAAGCAAUACGGCGCCAUCAACGUUCUUGUGUCGAAUGCCAAAGGUGGAGAGCAAAGCCCAAUAUCCCAAAGAUGGCAGAACUCCCUCCAGCCAGACUUCGUCUCAUGAAACCGCCUUUCUUUUCCACGGGAGUAGAUUGCUUUGGCCCAUUCCUUGUAAAACGAGGAAGGAGCAAUGAAAAGAAAUGGGGUAUUAUUUUCAAGUGCAUGACAACACGCUGUGUGCACUUAGAUCUUCUGGCCAACAUGGACACAGACUCCUUUCUAAUGGCUCUCAGACGCAUGGUUGCUCGACGAGGAACUCCCUCUGAAAUACUGGCAGAUCAGGGCACCAAUUUUCGAGGAGGAGAUAAAGAAUUACAAACUGCAUUUACAGCCAUGAGUCCCGAUCUCCAAGCCCAGUUAGCAAAACAGAAAAUCCAGUUCCAUUAUAAUCCUCCAAAUGCCCCACAUUUUGGAGGUAUGUGGGAGCGAGAAAUCCGCUCAGUCAAAGCAGCCUUACACACCAUAAUAGGACCCCAAACUCUCACAGAGGAAGUACUCAGAACACUCCUUAUAGAGGUUGAGGCUAUACUCAAUGCAAAGCCACUGGGUUAUGUUUCUUCUGACCUUGCUGACCCAGAUCCUGUGACCCCAAAUUACCUGUUGAUGGGGCGGCCAGAUGUGUCACUACCACAAGUCAUCUACCCAGAAUCUGAGAUCCUUAGUCGGAAAAGAUGGCGGCACUCACAGGUCUUGGCCGACCAGUUCUGGACGAGUUUCAUUAAGAAUUACUUACCCACCCUGCAACAACGUCAGAAAUGGAUGACAGACACCAGCAACCUCACACCUGGAACAGUCGUGAUGAUAAUAGAUCACCAACUUCCUCGAGCCUUGUGGCCUGUCGGCAAAGUUGUUACCACAUACCUCGGAUUGGAUGGUCGUGUUCGUUCAGCAACAAUAGAAGUCAAAAACAAACAAUAUCAUCGUCCUGUGGCUCGUCUUAUCACUCUGCCUUCUAUUCCAGAUGAUAACCCUACAACGGACUAAAAUGGCAAAGGAUGAUUGUACAUUUGCAUAGCAAAUGUAGGGGCGGCUGUAAAAGAGGUCGGUGGGCUGAGCCCAGAGCUGGACACGAGCUGUGCUCUCUCCUCACGCGUGCAUGCUGCGACAUCACGAACAGACUCCUAUAGAGCUCGUACUUGAUCAUGCGCUGAUCACGAGCACAGGCAGCCAAUCAAAACGCAGCUUAGGUCUGCUGUACAUUGAGACUGUUAACUGGUUUCAUUCUGAUCAGACAGAGAGAAAGGUUGCAUGCUUUGCUUUCCGCCUAAUUCCAGUCAGUUUUGUGUGCGUCAAUGAUGAGAAACCACACACACACACACACACCAAACACAUACACAAAGUGUGAUGGACAAUAAAGAGCUUUAAAUGGG